UGUUGCCUCGGCGGGCCUGCAGCGAUGCUGCCGGGGGAGCUUCUCCUCCCCGGGCCCGUGUCCGCCGGGGACACCGCAAGAACCGUCGGUGAACGAUUGGCGUCUGAGCAUGAGAGCGAUAAUAAUCCAGUCAAAACUUUCAACAACGGAUCUCUUGGUUCCGACAUCGAUGAAGAACGCAGCGAAAUGCGAUAAGUAAUGUGAAUUGCAGAAUUCCGUGAAUCAUCGAAUCUUUGAACGCACAUUGCGCCCCCUGGUAUUCCGGGGGGCAUGCCUGUCCGAGCGUCAUUGCAACCCUCAAGCGCGGCUUGUGUGUUGGGCCGUCGUCCCCCCUCGACCGGCGGGACGUGCCCGAAAUGCAGUGGCGGUGUCGAGUUCCGGUGCCCGAGCGUAUGGGGCUUUGCCACCCGCUCUGGAGGCCCGGCCGGCUCCUGCCCACCAU
rnacentral:misc_RNA from 1 species